AGAGUUUGAUCCUGGCUCAGGAUGAAACGCUGGCGGCGUGCUUAACACAUGCAAGUCGAACGGACCCAUAUUGAAACCUAGUGAUAUAUGGGUUAGUGGCGGACGGGUGAGUAACGCGUGGGUAACCUGCCUUACACAGGGGGAUAACACUUAGAAAUAGGUGCUAAAACCGCAUAAGCGCACAGCUUCGCAUGAAGCGGUGUGAAAAACUCCGGUGGUGUAAGAUGGACCCGCGUCUGAUUAGCUUGUUGGCGGGGUAACGGCCCACCAAGGCGACGAUCAGUAGCCGGCCUGAGAGGGCGGACGGCCACAUUGGGACUGAGACACGGCCCAGACUCCUACGGGAGGCAGCAGUGGGGAAUAUUGCACAAUGGGGGAAACCCUGAUGCAGCGACGCCGCGUGAGUGAAGAAGUAAUUCGUUACGUAAAGCUCUAUCAGCAGGGAAGAAAAUGACGGUACCUGAGUAAGAAGCCCCGGCUAACUACGCG
rnacentral:rRNA from 1 species